rnacentral:rRNA from 1 species
UGCGUAGGCGGAUAAAUAAGUCAGUGGCGAUAUCUUUCGUCUCAACCGGGUAACUGCCAUUGAUACUGUUUAUCUUGAGUUCGGUAGAGGUAGGCGGAAUGUGUAAUGUAGCGGUGAAAUGCUUAGAUAUUACACAGAACACCAAUUGCGUAGGCAGCUUACUAUGCCGAAACUGACGCUGAGGCACGAAAGCGUGGGGAGCGAACAGGAUUAGAUACCCUGGUAGUC